rnacentral:rRNA from 1 species
UGGGGAAUAUUGCACAAUGGGCGAAAGCCUGAUGCAGCAACGCCGCGUGAGUGAUGAAGGCCUUCGGGUUGUAAAGCUCUGUCUUUUGGGACGAUAAUGACGGUACCAAAGGAGGAAGCCACGGCUAAUUACGUGCCAGCAGCCGCGGUAAUACGUAGGUGGCAAGCGUUGUCCGGAUUUACUGGGCGUAAAGGAUGCGUAGGCGGAUUUUUAAGUGAGAUGUGAAAACCCUAAGCUUAACUUGGGGACUGCAUUUCAUACUGGAAAUCUAGAGUGCGGGAGAGGAGAAUGGAAUUCCUAGUGUAGCGGUGAAAUGCGUAGAGAUUAGGAAGAACACCAGUGGCGAAGGCGAUUCUCUGGACCGUAACUGACGCUGAGGCAUGAAAGCGUGGGUAGCAAACAGGAUUAGAUACCCUGGUAGUCCACGCCGUAAACGAUGAGUACUAGGUGUAGGAGGUAUCGACCCCUUCUGUGCCGCAGUUAACACAAUAAGUACUCCGCCUGGGAAGUACGAUCGCAAGAUUAAAAACUCAAAGGAAUUGACGGGGUCAUAGCUGUUUCCU